rnacentral:misc_RNA from 1 species
AUUAAAUUAUUUUAUGUUACUAAACAAAAGUAAUCAAAUAUAUAAUGUAAUCACUAUUACAUUACACUUUCGAUUGCAACAAUACAUCAUACUAAACAUGGUCUCAGGUUACAUUUGAUAGAGCAUAAUGUAAUACAAUAUAAUUAAUUAUGUAACGCAAUCAAAGUUGUAAUUGUCAUUACAUUUUUAUAUUUGGUUGCAAAAUAAAAAUAUAA